GAUGAACGCUGGCGGCGUGCCUAAUACAUGCAAGUCGAGCGAACAGACGAGGAGCUUGCUCCUCUGACGUUAGCGGCGGACGGGUGAGUAACACGUGGAUAACCUACCUAUAAGACUGGGAUAACUUCGGGAAACCGGAGCUAAUACCGGAUAAUAUAUUGAACCGCAUGGUUCAAUAGUGAAAGACGGUUUUGCUGUCACUUAUAGAUGGAUCCGCGCCGCAUUAGCUAGUUGGUAAGGUAACGGCUUACCAAGGCAACGAUGCGUAGCCGACCUGAGAGGGUGGUCGGCCACACGGGAGCUGAGCCGCGGUCCAGACUCCUACGGGAGGCAGCAGUAGGGAAUCUUCCGCAGUGGGCGAAAGCCUGACGGAGCAACGCCGCGUGAGUGAUGAAGGUCUUCGGAGCGUAAAACUCUGUUAUUAGGGAAGAACAAAUGUGUAAGUAACUAUGCACGUAUUGACGGUACCUAAUCAGAAAGCCCCGGCUAACUACGUG
rnacentral:rRNA from 1 species